UGUUGCGUUUAUGUAGGUUGUUGAUGUUGGAGAAACGCUAUCGUUGUUCAUGGAACUUUCAAACCUUAGGUGACGGGACGCUGAAGAAGCUGGCGUUUGAUCGUGUUAUUCAUAGUAUAAGGCAAUUGAACCAAAAGCACAAGAACAAAGCCAAGAACUGCGCACUUCAGAAUGUCUUGUUUGGAUUGCUUCAGAAAGAGGAGGAAGAGUCGGCGAGCCUAUGUGAGCUUCACAGGAGAAAAUUGUGGUUUGAUGAAAGAACAGCAAAUGCAAUUUGCACUGCUUCCUUCCAUCCAUCGUCGAGAUUAUGAUAGCAGCUUUAUCAUUUUUGCUUGAUUACGAGAAGAUUCAAGAUGAUGAUGAUAGUGAUGAUUCAGGAAGUGACGAUGAAACAAAUGAGUCUCCUCAAGUUGUUCUCAGCAGGGAGACCCUUUAUAAGGUGAUGUUUAAUGAUAAUUGUCCUAUUACCGUUAAAUUUGUGUUGCACUUUUAAUCAGGGUAUUUCAUGAGUCUACUAUUGAUUUGACUGGAGGCAAAAAAACCAGAGCGCUCUUUGGGAUAUGCUUGUGCGCUUCUGCUAUUACGCAGCUUACGAAAGGGAAAAGCAAGGAAGAGAAAGAAGGGUCACAGUUACAAUCUCUAGCAGCCAAAGUAUUGGAGAAAGAUUACAAACAGAGAGCUCUGGACAAGCUUCCUCAACUUACAACUGCCUUAAAGAGUUUAACAUUGUCAUCAUGAUACAACGUCUCUUAAAAGAUUAUUAUUUGAUCACUUUUUGAAAUUUUAUAAGAUUGU